rnacentral:tRNA from 2 species
GCCGCGGUGGUGAAACUGGUAGACACGCUAGCUUCAGGAGCUAGUUCUCGCAAGGGAUUGGGAGUUCGAGUCUCCCCCGCGGCA